rnacentral:rRNA from 1 species
UGGGCUUGAAAGUUAGUGACCGGUCCUGAAAGGGAUCUUUCCGAAAGGACACGAAACUAGGUGCUGCAUGGCUGUCGUCAGCUCGUGCCGUGAGGUGUUGGGUUAAGUCCUGUAACGAGCGCAACCCCUACCAUUAGUUGCCAGCGGGUAAUGCCGGGGACUCUAGUGGAACUGCCUGCGUAAGCAGUGAGGAAGGUGGGGAUGACGUCAAGUCAUCACGGCCCUUACGUCCAGGGCUACACACGUGCUACAAUGGUCGAUACAGAGGGCUGCUACUUGGUAACAAGAUGCUAAUCUCGAAAGUCGAUCUCAGUUCGGAUAGAGGUCUGCAAUUCGACCUCUUGAAGUUGGAUUCGCUAGUAAUCGCGCAUCAGCAAUGGCGCGGUGAAUACGUUCCCGGGCC